rnacentral:rRNA from 1 species
AUACGUAGGUGGCAAGCGUUGUACGGAUUUACUGGGUGUAAAGGGCGUGUAGGCGGAGAUGCAAGUCAGGAGUGAAAUCUAGGGGCUCAACCCCUAAACUGCCUUUGAAACUGUAUCCCUUGAGUAUCGGAGAGGCAGGCGGAAUUCCUAGUGUAGCGGGGAAAUGCGGAGAUAUUAGGGAGAACAACAGUGGCGAAGGCGGCCUGCUGGACGACAAAUGACGCUGAUGCUCGAAAGCGGUGGGAGCAAACAGGAUUAGAUACCCUGGUAGGCCACGCUGUAAACGAUGAAUACUAGGUGUGGGGGGACUGACCCCCUCCGUGCCGCAGUUAACACAAUAAGUAUUCCACCUGGGGAGUACGAUCGCAAGAUUGAAACUUAAAGGAAUUGACGGGG